AACGCACAUUGCGCCCCUUGGUAUUCCAUGGGGCAUGCCUGUUCGAGCGUCAUUUGUACCCUCAAGCUUUGCUUGGUGUUGGGCGUCUUGUCGGAUUAUCUGACUCGCCUUAAAUACAUUGGCAGCCGGCACUUUGGCCUAGGAGCGCAGCACAUUUUGCGAUCGUAAGCCGUUGUGACAGCUUCCAUAAGAUAUAUUUUACCACGUUUGACCUCGGAUCAGGUAGGGAUACCCGCUGAACUUAA
rnacentral:misc_RNA from 1 species